rnacentral:lncRNA from 1 species
UUUCUCCCAAGGUUUUUUCAAUUUCUCUAGCUUCUAACCCAAAUCCUCUCUCCAAGUGCUUGCUUCUUUGUGUUGUUGACAUUUUUUUCGCUUUCUGAUGUGUUGCAUGCAAGAAGAGCCUCUUCACGGCCUCCACACAAUCGUCGGCGUCGGUCGUCGCUCUCCACACAAUCGUCGGUCGUCGCUCUCCAGUCCAUCGGCUCUCCGCGCCGUCAGCAACUUGGUUGUCCUCAAUCCUCUGUCUUCCUCAGCCCUCAGUCUUCCUCAGUUCAGUCCUCAGUCCUCAUCAGCAACUGUAAAAGGUAAGUAAUUUUAUUUUUAUAAAGAGUAUGUUCUGAAAGGAGAGUGUUUAUGAUAUGCAAACACUAUCUGUAGACACAAAUGAUAUUUGUUCAUUGUGAAAUGCAUCCAGGCAUGCUAACUUCUACAUCGAGCCAUUGAAUUGGGGAUUUUUGUGUCUGGUUCUUUGUUUU